CCUACGGGAGGCAGCAGUGAGGAAUAUUGGUCAAUGGGCGGAAGCCUGAACCAGCCAAGUAGCGUGCAGGAUGACGGCCCUACGGGUUGUAAACUGCUUUUAUACGGGAAUAACGCGCCUUUCGUGUAGGGCUUUGUAUGUAUCGCAUGAAUAAGGACAGGCUAAUUCCGUGCCAGAAGCCGCGGUAAUACGGAAGGGCCGGGCGUUAUCCGGAUUUUUUGGGUUUAAAGGGAGCGUAGGCGGCAUGUCAAGCGUGCUGUGAAAUGUCCGGGCUCAACCCGGGCCUUGCAGCGGAAACUGGCGGGCUUGAGUCCGCGGAGGGCAGGCGGAAUUCGUGGUGUAGCGGUGAAAUGCUUAGAUAUGACGAAGAACCCCGAUUGCGAAGGCAGCUUGCUGCGGCGGAACUGACGCUGAUGCUCGAAAGCGCGGGUAUCGAACAGGAUUAGAUACCCUGGUAGUC
rnacentral:rRNA from 1 species